rnacentral:lncRNA from 1 species
CCGGUUCAACACGACUAGCUUAUCUCCCCCUAGUUUUUGUGUCCUUCCUGCAUGUUCUCUAAGAAGGUCCUUGUUUCAUCCACGUAUUGGUUCUUGAUUUUCAUUAGUGACAUAAUUUGAUUUAUUUCAAAGCUGCAUCUAAAUGCAUAAUUAACCGUCACUACCUUUGUUAAAAAUGACCCACACCAUUUUUUGGUUUUAUGCGAAAAAUGUGAUAGUUAACCCACUUUGUGAAAAUAGACAUAAUCGUUGACUAAAUGAAAGAAUGCUAUUUAAUAAGAUGGUCUAUAUCUUCCCAUUUACUAACCUUGGAGCAUCAUCCAUGACAUUUUUUCCUCCAAUGAAUGAAGAGCUUUUCGAAUUCUGAUUGCCUGCUCUUAAUUUCUGGAAGUUACUCCAGGUUUGGAGUGCUUAGGGUCUGUAUUUGAGAAGUGUAUUUCUUUUUCACUUGUCAGUGCUGGAGCAGGCCUUACGCAACCACUAACGGUGCCAAAAGUGUUAACAGUGUGUUCAAGAAGCACAUUAGGAGAUAGGUGAUUAGUACUUUGGUCUUUCUUGGGUGUGUGUGUGUGUGUGUGUGUGUGUGUGUGUGUGUGUGUGUGUUACGCCAUGUGCUUAUUACCCACGUUGUUGCCAGGGCACACCGAGAUUUGGUUGUGGCCAAAAGACAUUGUCUAAGUUCAUUUAGUACGUUUUGUGUACUUUUCUCCUAGUAAAGAGUUGAAGAAUGAAGAGACAACCAAAUACACAGAAAUGAAAUGACAAAUUAAACCAAACGGAAUUUCUCUUCAGACUGAAGAACUUCCAGAUACUAAGGAAGAAAGAAAUACAUCCAUCAGAGACGGGCCCUAACGUGGAGCAGAUCCAGGGGACUCCUGUCGUUCAUGACCUCUUCUCUGAUUCUCCCUCGUGGAGAGAGCUUGGCCACAGUGACUACAGGCCCAGGAGUUUGGAGCCGGUGAAGCCGGAAUAUCAAUCAUCAGGAUUCUAAUGAAGAAUCCUUGGCUGAAAAAGCCACCGGACUCCUUUCCAGGGCCGGUGGCAUUGCGUUCUGGGAGACCAAGGCUGAGCUAAGGCAAUCGAAUGCUGACCCCAGAAAGCUAAAUCACACCUCGCCUUUCAAGAUACUCUAAAACCAUCAACGUGAGUGCUUAAAAAAAAACCCAACUCCCCCCAUCUCAACGUUAAAAAUUUUAAUAGCCUGUCAAAAAGACAGUUUUGUAACUAUAGGAGUAGGAGGCAGGAAAUAGAAAUCUUUUUCUUUUGUUGUAGUUUGAGGCUUAAGUAUUGAAAGGAAACAGGCACUUGUAGCUUUUCACAG